UCAGGAUGAACGCUGGCGGCGUGCCUAAUACAUGCAAGUGAAACGGGUAUCUUCGGAUACCAGUCGCGGACGGGUGAGUAAUACAUAGGCAACCUGCCUUUAUGAGGGGGAUAACCGAGGGAAACUUUGGCUAAUACCGCAUGAAGACUCUAAGGCAUCUUAGAGGGAUAAAAGUUGGGAAACAACGCAUGAAGAUGGGCUUAGUGGCGCAUUAGCUAGUUGGUGAGAUAGAAGCCCACCAAGGUAAUGAUGCGUAGCCGACCUGAGAGGGUGAACGGCCACAUUGGGACUGAGACACGGCCCAAACUCCUACGGGAGGCAGCAGUAGGGAAUUUUCGGCAAUGGGGGGAACCCUGACCGAGCAACGCCGCGUGAAAAGGAAGAAGGUUUUCGGAUUGUAAACUUCUGUUAUAAGGGAAGAACGGAUUGGAUAGGGAAUGAUCUGAUAGUGACGGUACCUUAUUAGAAAGCCACGGCUAACUACGUGCCAGCAGCGGC
rnacentral:rRNA from 1 species